rnacentral:rRNA from 1 species
CGUACGCCAGUAUCUGUGGAGCCGUCCUUGAAAUACCACCCUUGUAGUGUUGAUGUUCUAACGUCGACCCCUUAUCGGGGUUGCGGACAGUGCCUGGUGGGUAGUUUGACUGGGGCGGUCUCCUCCCAAAGAGUAACGGAGGAGCACGAAGGUGGGCUAAUCACGGUUGGACAUCGUGAGGUUAGUGCAAUGGCAUAAGCCCGCUUGACUGCGAGAAUGACAAUUCGAGCAGGUGCGAAAGCAGGUCAUAGUGAUCCGGUGGUUCUGAAUGGAAGGGCCAUCGCUCAACGGAUAAAAGGUACUCCGGGGAUAACAGGCUGAUACCGCCCAAGAGUUCAUAUCGACGGCGGUGUUUGGCACCUCGAUGUCGGCUCAUCACAUCCUGGGGCUGAAGUCGGUCCCAAGGGUAUGGCUGUUCGCCAUUUAAAGUGGUACGCGAGCUGGGUUUAGAACGUCGUGAGACAGUUCGGUCCCUAUCUGCCGUGGGCGUUGGAAGAUUGAAGGGGGCUGCUCCUAGUACGAGAGGACCGGAGUGGACGAACCUCUGGUGUUCGGGUUGUGUCGCCAGACGCAUUGCCCGGUAGCUAAGUUCGGAAUCGAUAACCGCUGAAAGCAUCUAAGCGGGAAGCGAGCCCUGAGAUGAGUCUUCCCUGAUACUUUAAGUAUCCUAAAGGGUUGUCGGAGACUACGACGUUGAUAGGUCAGGUGUGUAAGUGCUGUGAGGCAUUGAGCUAACUGAUACUAAUUGCCCGUGAGGCUUAACCAUACAACACCCAAGGGGUUU